rnacentral:rRNA from 1 species
UACGUAGGGUGCGAGCGUUGUCCGGAAUUAUUGGGCGUAAAGAGCUUGUAGGCGGUUUGUCGCGUCUGCUGUGAAAAUCCGGGGCUCAACCCCGGACUUGCAGUGGGUACGGGCAGACUAGAGUGUGGUAGGGGAGACUGGAAUUCCUGGUGUAGCGGUGAAAUGCGCAGAUAUCAGGAGGAACACCGAUGGCGAAGGCAGGUCUCUGGGCCACUACUGACGCUGAGAAGCGAAAGCAUGGGGAGCAAACAGGAUUAGAUA